rnacentral:rRNA from 2 species
UUGAGCCUUGAUGUGUAGGAUAGGUGGGAGGCUUUGAAGCGUGGACGCCAGUCUGCGUGGAGCCGACCUUGAAAUACCACCCUUUAAUGUUUGAUGUUCUAACGUGGACCCGUAAUCCGGGUUGCGGACAGUGUCUGGUGGGUAGUUUGACUGGGGCGGUCUCCUCCUAAAGAGUAACGGAGGAGCACGAAGGUUGGCUAAUCCUGGUCGGACAUCAGGAGGUUAGUGCAAUGGCAUAAGCCAGCUUGACUGCGAGCGUGACGGCGCGAGCAGGUGCGAAAGCAGGUCAUAGUGAUCCGGUGGUUCUGAAUGGAAGGGCCAUCGCUCAACGGAUAAAAGGUACUCCGGGGAUAACAGGCUGAUACCGCCCAAGAGUUCAUAUCGACGGCGGUGUUUGGCACCUCGAUGUCGGCUCAUCACAUCCUGGGGCUGAAGUAGGUCCCAAGGGUAUGGCUGUUCGCCAUUUAAAGUGGUACGCGAGCUGGGUUUAGAACGUCGUGAGACAGUUCGGUCCCUAUCUGCCGUGGGCGCUGGAGAACUGAGGGGGGCUGCUCCUAGUACGAGAGGACCGGAGUGGACGCAUCACUGGUGUUCGGGUUGUCAUGCCAAUGGCACUGCCCGGUAGCUAAAUGCGGAAGAGAUAAGUGCUGAAAGCAUCUAAGCACGAAACUUGCCCCGA